AUUGAACGCUGGCGGCAUGCUUUACACAUGCAAGUCGAACGGCAGCGCGGGGCAACCUGGCGGCGAGUGGCGAACGGGUGAGUAAUAUAUCGGAACGUACCCAGAAGUGGGGGAUAACGUAGCGAAAGUUACGCUAAUACCGCAUACGAUCUACGGAUGAAAGUAGGGGACCGCAAGGCCUUAUGCUUUUGGAGCGGCCGAUAUCUGAUUAGCUAGUUGGUGAGGUAAAGGCUCACCAAGGCGACGAUCAGUAGCUGGUCUGAGAGGACGACCAGCCACACUGGAACUGAGACACGGUCCAGACUCCUACGGGAGGCAGCAGUGGGGAAUUUUGGACAAUGGGCGCAAGCCUGAUCCAGCAAUGCCGCGUGAGUGAAGAAGGCCUUCGGGUUGUAAAGCUCUUUUGUCAGGGAAGAAACGGUAGAGGCUAAUAUCCUUUGCUAAUGACGGCACCUGAAGAAUAAGCACCGGCUAACUACGUG
rnacentral:rRNA from 1 species